rnacentral:rRNA from 1 species
UACGGGGGGGGCAAGCGUUGUUCGGAAUUACUGGGCGUAAAGGGCGCGUAGGCGGCUCGCUAAGUUGGAUGUGAAAACUCUGGGCUCAACUCAGAGCCUGCAUCCAAAACUGGCGGGCUAGAGUUCUGGAGGGGGUAGCGGAAUUCCUGGUGUAGCGGUGAAAUGCGUAGAUAUCAGGAGGAACACCAAUGGCGAAGGCAGCUCGCUGGGACGUGACUGACGCUGAGACGCGAAAGCGUGGGGAGCAAACAGG